UCCUGUGACUUGGGCAUAACAUGCGCAUAGUGAGGGCAGUACUGCUAACACCUAUACAACAUGCUUGCAUCAACUAGAGCUCUGCUUUAUACUGGUGCAAUUUUUGGAAAA
rnacentral:snRNA from 1 species